CAAGAUUCCAUGGCUUGUUCAUCUGCCUCAAUGCUUGCAAAGAGGGUUUCCUUAAUGGUUGCAGACCAUUCAUAGGUGUUGAUGGUUGCUUCAUAAAGUUGACAACAGGGCAGCAAAUCUUGGCUGCCACUGGAAGAGAUGGAAACAAUAACAUAUUUCCCAUUGCUUUUGCAAUAGUGGACAAGGAAAACACAGCAAGCUGGUCUUGGUUUCUUACUCAAUUAAAAUAUGCCAUUGGUGGUGAGUCAGGCAAGUUUGGCUACUACACUAUUAUAUCUGACAGGCAAAAGGGCCUUCUUACAGCCAUAAACAAUGUAUUCCCCAAUUGCAAACAAAGAUUCUGCCUUAGACAUAUUUAUCAGAACUUUCAAACUGCUGGUUUUAGAGGGGAAGAGUUGAAGAAAUACAUGUAUCAGGCAAGUUAUUCCUAUACUGAGCAUGGUUAUGUAACAG